rnacentral:rRNA from 1 species
ACUACCUACUAUCGAGUAUCGAGGGGUAGUGACAGAAAUACCGAUGCGGGGACCCUACGGGGUGCCGCGUUCGGAAUGAGUACGAUUCGAACCACCUAACGAGGAACGAUCGGAGGGCAAGUCUGGUGCCAGCAGCCGCGGUAAUUCCAGCUCCAAUAGCGUACGUUAAAGUUGCUGCAGUUAAAAAGCUCGUAGUUGAACGUUCGGGGUUCCGCGGGACGGGGCCGCCCCGCGAGGGACGGCGCCGCCCCGGGGCUCGUGAUAUCUUAUCUCGCCGCCCGUCGCGAGGCGGACGGAGGGAUGGAUGAGGUUACCUGGAAAAAAUCGGGGCGAUCUAGGCGGGCGAACCUCGCCAACGAACGAUCGGACAUGGGAUAACGGAAGAGGGCGUCGGCUCGACUUCGUCGGUUCCUCGGGCCGAGGCACGUACGGUGAAUAGG